rnacentral:rRNA from 1 species
UACAGAGGUGGCAAGCGUUGUUCGGAAUUACUGGGCGUAAAGGGCGAGUAGGUGGCCAUCUAAGUCAGACGUGAAAUCCCCCGGCUUAACCUGGGAACUGCGUCUGAUACUGGACGGCUUGAGUAUGGGAGAGGAAUGUAGAAUUCCAGGUGUAGCGGUGAAAUGCGUAGAUAUCUGGAGGAACACCGGUGGCGAAGGCGGCAUCCUGGACCAACACUGACACUGAGGAGCGAAAGCCAGGGGAGCAAACGGG